UCCAUGGUGGUCCAGCAGUUAGGAUGCCUGGUUUUCACCCAGGUGGCCUGGGUUUGACUCCCAGUGUGGGAA
rnacentral:tRNA from 1 species